UGGUAGCACAAGUCGGCCCACGACUGAAGUCACAGCAACUCCUGGUACACCAGAGGACGAUGAUACAUGCUGUCAAGAACCAUGUACAGCACAGUCCAAGAAAGAGUUGCCCAGCUCAGCACAGGAGCAAAAGGCAAGCUUUUAGUCCUGGUUUAGUCUUAGUCUUGGUUUAGACCUGGUUUAGUGGUGGUUUAGACUUGGUUUAGACCUGGUUUAGUCCUGGUUUAGACCUGGUGGUUUAGUGGUGGUUUAAAAAGAACACUAUUGUGUAUAUCUUUCCUGAUAAUAAGUGGGUGAUGUAUUAGUAACAAAAUGAUGCCACAUACUUUGAUAGAAAUGAAAAUGAUCACCCUAUAGAGGGGGGAAAUCAAAGACACCCCAAAAAAGAAAGUGAAAAAAUGAUGCAGCACACUGGUCCAUUUUGCUAAAAUGUCAUUGUGGCAACCCAAAAUGAUUCUCAGUAGUUUGUGUGGCCCCCACGUGCUUGUGCGUAUGCCUGACAACGUUGGGGCAUGCUCCUAAUGAGACUACGGAUGGUGUCCUGGGGGAUCUCCUCCCAGAUGUGGAGCAGGGCAUCACUGCGGUACCUGGACGCAUGGAGGAGAUUCCAGGAGACAGGUAGUUACUCCAGGAGAGCUGGACAGGGCUGUAAAAGAUCCUUCAACCCUCAGUAGGAUUGGUAUCUGCUCCUUUGUGCAAGGAGGAACAGGAUGAGCACUGCCAGAGCCCUACAAAAUGACCUCCAGCAGGCCACUGGUGUGAAUGUUUCUGACCAAACAACCAGAAACAGGCUCCAUGAGGGUGGCCUGAGGGCCCGACGUCCUGUAGUGGGCCCUGUGCUCACUACCCAGCACCGUAGAGCUCGAUUGGCAACUACACCACUGGUGCAAGUGUGCUCUUCACUUAUGAAGAGCACAGGGCGUACAAGCACGCAGUACAAGCACAGUUAUAUUAUGUUGAACACGUCAGUAUCACCAUUACUUGUUAAUUUUUCAUUUCAAUGUGCUUUUAGUGUGCUCAAAAUCAUGGCACAAAUCCUGCUUUCUCAAGAGGAAUUCAUCACUGGAUGUUGAACCUGAUGACCAUGACUCUCUAAAUAGUAGUGACGGCUGUGGAUCAGAUGAAGACUAUGUGCCUAGCCCGUCAGUCAGUAGUGAUGCAUCCGGCCCUGAAGAUCUCUCAUGUACCAGCACUGGUGUACCAGCAUCAAGAACAGAUAGUGAUGAUCUGUCUGUCUGUAAAACUCAUCCAAGCCCACUCCAUCGUAUGGCUCGUGCAGCUAACUUGGUUUCUUCUAAGCAAAUUAGGAAGAGAGUGCCACAGCCCAUAGACCGCAUGAGUGAGGAGGACAGAGAUGCCACAACCUCUGUUGAAUUUGGCAUUGAAGAAGACAUCGUUCCUGAUCGUGAAUCUUCUGAUGAUGAUCCAACCACAAGCAAUACCCAGAGCCUUCCAACAACUUCAACAGAUUCACAAGCUCCUAAAGGGUCUUCUUGCACAAAAAAAAAUUACUGUUACGUUUGUAAGACACCUCAAUCGAAAAUUGCUCGUCACCUUAAAAAGCAUGAAAAAGAAGAACCCGAUAUUGCUGAAGCAUUUUUGCACCCAAACAACUCCAAAGAGAGAAAAAAGUUACUUGAAAAGUUGCGGAACAAAGGCAAUUAUGAACAUACGUAAUCAAGAAGUUCUCACAAAUAACGAUGGCUUACUGAAAGUAAAAAGAAAAUCAAAACAAUCAAAAGACUGUAAAUACCAAAACGUUUGUGCAGUGUGCAUAUUGUAGAGGCAUGUUUAUCCGUAAAGAGCUGUGGCGCCAUUCACGGAGGUGCCCUUUUAAAACAGCCUCAGAAUCUGAAGCCACUGGUAAAGCAAAAUGCUUGGCUCUAGCUGAUAUUGCAGAGUCAACAUGUGCCCAAGCAAUUUCCCCUUGAGUAUGGAAGGUUCUUAAAAAUAUGAGGCAAGAUGAGGUAGCAUCUGUAGUUCGAAAUGAUUUCCUCAUACUACAACUGAGUCAGUUUCUCUACAACAAGCAUGGAACUGAUCUAACAAAGUUUGAGUAUAUGAGACAAAAGGCUCGAGAAAUGGGCAGACUGUUGUUGACCUUGAGAAAAACAAACUCUAUUUUUAGGUUUGAAGAUGCUACAGUACAAGACCAAAAAACUUCUAUAAAGUCAUUGAAGCUGUAAGAACAGUUGCUGGUUAUGAUGAAGAAAAGACCUGUUAUCGCACACCAAGUCUUGCAAUGAAAUUGGGACACUCGCUCAAGAAGAUCAGUGGCAUUAUUCUCUGUAGGGCCAUUGCAGCAGAGGAUGAACAGAUGAUAAAAGCAGCAGAGCGAUUCAUACAUCUCUGCACAAAAGAAUGGACAGGACUUGUUUCCCACAUGGCACUUGGUACUUUGACCAAAUCAAAGUUUAAGAAACCAUCUACCUUACCAUUCACAGAAAAUGUUCAGCUUUUUGCACCAGUACCUGGAGAAGAAAUCAGCUGAGGCUGUUGAAAACCCGAAAGAGCGGGAGUCUUGCUCAAAUAAUUAUCUUCAACAGACGUCGCGCAGGAGAAGUCUCAAAAAUGACACUCGAGUCUUUUGAAAGAAGAGAUCAGACUGAGCUCCAUGAGGACAUAGCUGCUGGCCUCUCGCAAGUUGAGCAAAAGCUAGCCAAGCACUUCAGCAGGGUAGAAAUUAUAGCCAAAAGAGGGUGAAAGGUUGCCGUUUUAUUGAGUCCUGAGGUCCUCAGAGCAGCAGCACUUAUUGCAGACAAGAGAGACACAUGUAAUGUGCACAAGGAUAAUCCCUUCCUGUUUGGACGGACACAGUGCCCCUCCACUAGUUACUUUAGAGGACAGGACUGCAUCAGGAAGUUUGCAUGCAUGUGUGGUGCAAAGAAUCCUGAAUAUCUCAGGUCUACACAUCUUCGCAAGCAUGUAGCAACAUUGUCCCAAAUACUCAACCUCAAGGAUAAUGAGCUGGACCAACUUGCCAACUUUUUGGGACAUGAUAUUCGGGUCCGUAGAGACCAUUAUCGGCUGCCAGAGGCAACUAUAGAAAUUGCAAAAAUCUCAAAACUUCUACUGGCAAUGGAGAAAGGAUCACUUGCAAAGUUCCAGGGAAAGUCUCUUGAUGAGAUUGAGGUUGAAGAUGAAUUGGACCCAGAGCUAGAUGAGGGUGAGCUGGAUGAUGAAAGUGAUGAAGAUGACGACAACAAUGAUGGAAAUGAUGGUGGCGGUGGACAUGACAAGGACAGUGGACAUGAUGGCGGUGGUGGAGAUGAAGACUGUGACCAUGACGGUGGAGUCGAUGACAGUGGUGGAGAUGACAAUGGGUCUGAUCAUGUCCUUGGACCAAGGGGAAAAAGAAAAAGGAUGAAAUCGACCGAGGAUAAGACCAAGGCUUCCAAAGGGCAAAAAAAUCUGUUGGCAAUCCAAGCUGAGGUGACCAAUUGAGAAGAGGUGUUCAACGAGAAUUAUGAGCAAUUGCUCAGUUGGUGGAAAAUGUCAUGGAAAGUUUUGAUAAAAAAAAGUCUAUAUCUGCGUUGAUGAAUGCAAAUAUGAUGAAGCUAUGUGGCGCACUCUUUAAGAGGUAAAUAAAUGCCUUAUUUUAUCUUAUUUAAAUUCCCCCCCUUUACUUUUGAAUGACUGGGGGCGGGUCAUUCUUCCGCAUUUGCAUGGUAUUAUCAACUGCAAUGACAAAAUGCAAGUGGAAAAGACAAGUACAAAACAGGAACAACAACGGCAAAUUGGAAAAAACAAAGACAAUACAGAAAAAACAAAGACAAAAUAGUAAAAAAAUAUGACUAUUUGCAUUUUUUUUUUAUUAUUGUUUUUCUUUGUAUUUCCACAUUUGUAUACUUUUGUGUUAUUGAUUCUCUUUGUAUUUCCGCACGUAUUCCCUUUUAAUUUUGGCACUCCUGUGAUUCCAUAGUAUCAAGCCCAAAUGUAUAAAUCAUUUCAGUCCACAUACAUUCUGUUUUACUCCUGCCUGAGGGAAUCAAACAGGUUACGAAUUGCAUUGUUUAGUUAAGAAAAUUUGAUUUUUGAUGAAACAGUAACAAUGAAUAUAUACAUUCCUAUGUAUUAACAUCCUGCGCAUUUUGUUUUUAUUUUUUAUUCAUUUGACUUAUGUUUUUUUAUUUGAAUUGCCCGGCACAUCUCAAGCUCGCUUUUUUCCCCCUCCACCCAAACUAUGGAAAUUAAAUCCAAGCUUAUACCUGAUGAUGCCAUGAAUGACUUAAAAAACAACAGUUCUUUCCCUUAAAUAGCCUUCAAGCCUACACAGGCUCACUGGAGAGCAGAAAAGGAAAAAUACAUUAUGUAAACUACAGCUCCAGGGGAGCUGACAGACUGAGCCAUUAAGUUGGCUACUAAUUGCAUCACACCAGCAGCAACAAACGUGCCACAUGGCUUCAUGAACUUGAUUAAAGACUACAUAUGCACAUCCACAGCAAAUAUUACAAUAUUUAUCUAAUAACUGCCCCUGAAAGAGUGGGGAUAUCAAUAUUAAACUGAGGCUCCAUGAGUGGAUGCUUCGGCAGAGGAAUACAGAAGAGACGGUUGGAUGGUAUGUUAUGGUCUAUGGUCCCAUGGGCUGCACUUCCAUCUUCUCGCCUAGACAAUAUUUCCAAAGAGAGGCGUUAGAAAAUUAUAUCUCGUCCUCCCUCCCAUCCGGUGUCAUCCGCCCCUCUUCUUCUCCGUUAGCUAAAUCUCUGAAGCCAUGCAUUGAUUACCGCGCACUAAAUGACAUCACCAUAAAGAAUAUUCACUUCACUUCUUGAUUCAGCCUUCAAUUCUCUCCACACUGCUAGAUAAUUUCACUAAAUAAGACCUCUGUAACACAUAUCAUCUACUUAGAAUACGGGAGGGGGUACAAGUACUUUGAGUACUUGUGAUGCUAUGUGGACUUACCAAUGUCCCCGCUGUCUUUCAAAGUUCCAUCAAUGAUGUCCUCCGGGAUAUGCUCAGCUGCUUUGUUUUUGUUUAUCUGGAUGAUAUUCUUAUUUUUCCCCCCACAUUUGAGUUACACAUUCAACAAGUCCGUUUUGUCCUCCAGCGCCUUCUCAAACAGGCAGAAAAAUGUGCUUUCCACGCUGCUUCUGUCCCUUUCCUGGGGUUCAUUGUGGAGGAGGGUCAACUUAAAGCGGAUCCAGCUAUAGUCCAGGUUGUGGUCGAUUGGCCUACUCCUACAUCAAGAAAGCUCCUUCAAAGGUUCCUGGGCUUUGCCAAUUUCUAUCGCCACUUCAUUCACAACUUCAGUCGGGUUGCAGAGCCAUUGACAAAUCUUACAUCCACUAAGGUACCGUUUACCUGGACUCCAGAAGCCAACACCUCGUUUGUAAGACUCGAGGUUGAUGCAUCUGACUCCGACGUGGGGGUCGUCCUUUCCCAGCGUUCCUCCUCUGACCAGAAACAGUACCCCUGCGCCUUAUGCAAUUACGACAUUGGUAAUAGAGAGCUGCUUGCUGUGGUUAUGGCCCUGCAGGAGUUAAGGCACGGGCUGGAGGGGUCGGAGGUAGGGGUCGGAGGUGCCUUUUGUCGUUUACACCGACCACAAGAACAAGAACGGCCCAAUGUCUCAACCCCCAGACAGGCACAAUGGGCCCUCUUUUCACACGAUUCAACUUCACCCUGACCUUCCGCCUGGGCUCUCAGAAUGGCAAGUCAGAUGCAUUGUCCAGACUUUCUUCUCCCCCCUCAGAGGGGGUGAGGAAGGAGACCAUUAUCUCUUAGUCCGAGAUGUUGGGGGAGUUGCAUUGGGACUUUUGACAGUCAGAUGAUGGAGGCCCUCAAGGACAUCUCUCCCCUGGAACGUUGUUCCGAAGCUGCGUCCUGAGGUCCUAUGCUGGGCCCACAGUACCAAACUCGCCUGCCAUCCAGGUGUCACUCGCACAAUCUUCCUCCUUUCGCAACGCUUCAUGGUAGUUUCUGACUGCAUGCACCGUUUGUUCCCGGACGAAGAGUCAAAACAAGCAAUGCUUAUUUUUUUUUGGCAAAAAAAAUCCCCAAGGCUGCUGGCCGUAGCACCAUUUCUUCAUUAGGAUUUCCAUCAUCCACCCUUUACUGUUUACUUCCACAACAAUUUCUUCCGGAAGUGUUUCUUUUGGCAUUGUCAUCAGCUUAAAAAUAAAAAGUUUUUGUCUGGAUGCUGUGCAGGCCGGAACACGUGAAAUGCGUGCUCUCAUGUCCAGUUCAGCUUGACAGACGAGUCACCUUUGUUGUUAACAGUCCUAGUGAGAGGCAGGUCAAAUGUCAAAGUUACCUUAUCCAUAUUUAUGUCAUCUGGUCCCAUGGAAUUCUCGGCUAUCUUUGAGUGUAUAUCCGGAAUUUUCUAACCGUUUCCUCGUAGUUGGAAGGGAGUUGUUGACACAAAGUCGUGGGUGCCCUGAUGGACAGUCCUUUUUGUCUCAUAAAUCUGAGACACCAAGAUGGGCCACCUAUAAAAUCUUCAAUCUUCUUUUCGGGGGCGAUGAUUUGGCUUUUAGUUGGAUCUGCACAGUGGAAACACCUCGGCUAUCCGCUCUCUGUGUAUUUACCCAGUCUUCAAGCACAUCUUAUAGUUCAGGCCAUCUACUUUUCUUACCUCUGAAAGCUUUUACUGUAUUUUUGCUUUGCGUCAGCUUUUUAUGUUGACGUCUCCAAUGUCUCACCAUACAUUAAUUUAUGCUAAACUAAAGCGAAGCAGCCCUGUUUCCUACUCUGACAGCCAAAUCAAUCGUCUUUAACUUGAAAGCGGCAUCAUAUGCGUUUCGUAGCAUUUUCCAUGAUGGAACAUUGUGUCACUGCGCAUGUGCAGAACGCGUCUACAUCUGGGCACCGAGUCUACAUUCCGAUACAGUAGGUAGCAGUAUGCAACUAAACUUUGUUUGCGAACCCUCCAUAAACAAAACAAAGAAAAAGAACGUGUCUACAUACUGUACAUACAGUACUGUGCAAAAGUUUUACAUAGGUAUGACAACAUGCUAUAAAUUAAGAAUGUUUUUAAAAAUUGAAGUAUUACAUUUAUUUCCAUCAAUUAACAAAAGGGAAAUCUAAAUCAAAUCAGUAUUUGGUGUGACCACCCUUUGCUUUCAAGACGGCAUCAAUUCUUCUCGAUAGUCUGUACAGCUGGUGGGUUGCUCCAAACAUCUUGGAGAACUUACCACAGAUCUUCUGUGGAUGUAGACCUUGUGAAUGUGCAGGUCACAACAACACAAGUGUUUUGGAGUUGUUGGAUUGCGUAUUAGCUGAGUUUUGAUUAGUUUGCUUGCGUCACCAAGUUUCACUUAUGUUUCCGGGUCAUGUGAUUGUUGUUUGCAACUGUUGCUAAGUGGUUGUUUGUUGUUCAGUGGCAAGUAAACAGUUUAGAGUUUAUACCAUUUAUCCUCGGCUCCUGUCUCAUUCUGAAUCACAUCUCCACAUUUGGUGACCCUCGACAUGAGUAAUAUGCCAUGUGUGCCUUCAUCGAGUUCUGCCACCUAGCGCUACGGUGCAUACAAGAAAACCUGUUGUAAAUGGAAUAAGUCUUCUAAACGUGCAUUUUGAAGAAAUCUUUGAGUGAGUACAAUGUUUUUGCUAAAUAAUGCUAUAUUGGUGUAUUUUGGCAUUAACUAUACAUUUUACACAAGUGAUUAAAUGACAUACUAGUUUAUGAUAUUCACGUUAAUAUGCCAAAAAUGUACUCAAAUAGUGUUACGUGCUUAAACAUUAGUUUAAAAGACAGGUAAAAUACACACUGAAUCCACACACUACGGGAUGAAAACGAGGGCACACAUCUCAUCACACUAGUGCCACUUGAUGAUAACGAGGCAGCUAACGUUGGUGCUAUCAAUGGCAGUGACGGUUAAGUUGCCCUACUUUUCUUGACAGGCUCUGAAAAGUCCAAAAUAGUGUGAUAUCUUGCAGAGGGUUGCAGCACUCUUAAAAUUGCCAAGCUUCAUCAAACAAUCAAGCGUUUCAUUCAAAAUAGUCAACAGGAUCGCAAGAAGCGUGUGGAAAAACCAAGGCGCAAAAUAACUGCCCAUGAACUGAGAAAAGUCAAGCGUGCAGCUGCCCAGAUGCCACUUGCCACCAGUUUUGCCAUAUUUCAGAGCUGCAACAUCAUUGGAGUGCCCAAAAGGACAAGGGAUGCAAUACUCAGAGACAUGGCCAAGGUAAGAAAGGCUGAAAAACGACCACCACUGAACAAGACACACAAGCUGAAAUGUCAAGACUGGGCCAAGAAAUAUCUCAAGACUGAUUUUUCUAAGGUUUUAUGGACUGAUGAAAUGAGAGUGAGUCUUGGGGCCAGAUGGAUGGGCCCGUGGCUGGAUCGGUAAAGGGCAGAGAGCUCCAGUCCGACUCAGACGCCAGCAAGGUGGAGGUGGGAUACUGGUAUGGGCUGGUAUCAUCAAAAAUGAGCUUGUGGGGCCUUUUCGGGUUGAGGAUGGAGUCAAGCUCAACUCCCAGUUCUACUGCCAGUUUCUGGAAGACACCUUCUUCAAGCAGUGGUACAGGAAGAAGUCCGCAUCCUUCAAGAAAAACAUAAUUUUCAUGUAGGACAAUGCUCCAUCACACGCAUCCAAGUACUCCACAGCGUGGCUGGCAAAAAGGGUCUAAAACAAGAAAAACUAAUGACAUGGCCUCCUUGUUCACCUGAUCUGAACUCCAUAGAGAACCUGUGGUCCCUCAUCAAAUGUGAGAUUUACAAGGAGGGAAAACAGUACACCUCUCUGAACAGUGUCUGGGAGGCUGUGGUUGCUGCUGCACGCAGUGUUGAUUGUGAACAGAUCAAAACACUGACAAAAUCCAUGGAUGGCAGGCUUUUGAGUGUCCUUGCAAAGAAAGGUGGCUAUGUUGGUCACUGAUUCGUUUUUGUUUUGUUUUUGAUUGUCAGAAAUGUACAUUUGUGAAUGUUGAGCUGUUAUAUUGGUUUCCCUGGUGAAAAUAAAUAAUUGAAAUGGGUAUAUAUUUGUUUUUUGUUAAGUUGCCUAAUAAUUAUGCACAGUAAUAGUCGCCUGCACACACAGAUAUCCUUCUAAAAUAGCUAAAACUAAAAAAGCCCCACUCCAACUUCCAAAAAUAUUCAGCUUUGAUAUUAAUGAGUCUUUUGGGUUCAUUAAGGACAUGGUUGUUGUUCUAUAAUAAAAUUAAUCCUCAAAAAUACAACUUGCCUCAUAAUUCUGCACUCCUUUGUAUGGUAUACCUUGAAACUGGUAACUAGCCCAUGCCUAGAUCAGUGUUCUGUGGGGGCCAUGCCAUCACUUCCAGGAUUUUCUGUUCUUCUUUACGCUGAAGCUAGUUCUUCAUGACCAUGUCUGUAUGUUUGGGGUCAUUGUCCUGCUGCAGAAUCAAUUUACUGCAUGAUGCAUAAGGAUCUGCCUGUAUUUCUCAGCAUUGAGGACACCAUUAAUCCUGACCAAAUUUCCGACUCCAUUUGCAGAAAUGCAGCCCCAAACUUGCAAGGAACCUCCACCAUGCUUCACAGUUGCCUGCAGACAGUCAUUAUUGUACACUUUCUAACGCUUUGGGGGAACAAACUGCGUUCUGCUCCAGCCAAAUAUUCAAAAUUUUGACUCAUCUGUCCAGAGCACCUUCUGCCAUUUUUUUCACCACAAUUUCUAUGUUUUUGUGCAUAGUUGAGUCGCUUGGCCUUACCAUUCUGUAUCUGUACACCCAUCUAAAUUAUCUGUAUCCGUAUCUGUACUUGGAGUGGUCGGGGGAAUAAACCAGAAGUGGGCGUGGUUUAACCAGAAAUGGGUGGGUGCUUAAAUCAAUACAUUAUUUUAAGUCUGAUAUUGACAUGGAUUGAUCAGAAGUUGCUAAGUUUAUUGUUUAUUUGAAAACUAUUUACAGAACAGACUCAAAAUUGAGAUUCAAAUUAUGUUUUUGAUCACAAAGGAAAAGGAACACUUUUAAAUGAUCUGAGUGAAGUUGAUGAUUCAUGCAAACAUCCAGUGAUGGCAAACAGGGAUGGCAAUCCUCACAGGGCUACAAAUGACACCGAGGUCAAAAGAUAGUGUAGUCCAAAACAGAGGAGAACCAAAUAAAAUGGAUGUUCCUUCAACAUACAGUAGCUGCAAAUUUCCAGUUUCAUAGAAGGUGGAUGUAGAUAUCAAUACCAUCGACAAUUGCAUCCCAAUGUAUGGCAGAAACAACACCACACCUGUCAUCUUCGUUAAGUUAGCAGGGUUUCCGCUACAUGAUCGUGGUGGCCCGUCACUACAAAAUAAAAGCCGCCACACCUUAAAAAUGAGGGUUUAUUUCUAAACUUGAAAACAAUUUUAAGUAAUAUACUGUGUUGUAAAUUUAAGUAAUAUAUACUGUAUUUAAUGACAAAGGAGCACACUGAGUGGAGAUGUGCUUUGUAAAUAAAGUGCCAUUUAAAUGUUGGCAGUCACAUACAGUAAAACACAAAUACCUAGUGCUGCAAGUUGGAUACACCUGUGUUAUCAUAAGCCUGGACUCUCAAUUCAUACUGUUUAUAUAGGACAGAUUUCUAACAAAAAUAUUUAAAUUGUUAUUUUGUUAUUCGUGUUAUAUUGAACUAAAUAUAUUAUUGAAUAAUUAAGUUCUCAUGUAUUCGUAUAACUAUAAAACAGGCAAUCAAAUUAAAUUUAGGUUUGUGUCAAAUAGUACAAAAUGUACUUUUUUACUAGUCACAUAACCACAAAAGGAGUUUCGGCAUUCACUUAAAGUGCUCUCAGCAACUUUGCCAUUAAAUUAACAGUUUUGCAAUAUUCUUAGUUAAUGUCCUGCUGGUUGUUAAAAAACGUUGAAUAAAUAAGUAAUAAAAAUUGCUAUUUGUCAUUUAAAAAAAACAAACAAACAUGCAGACGCAGCAGCAGCACAACACAGCAGCGGCAGUCCACCCGCCCAUGCAGCCCACCACCAUAGCUUCAAAAAAUCCUAGGGGAAAUCCUGAGUUAGGGAAUUCAAAACUGCACUGCUGAAACAGGGAAAGAAGCUGAGAGGCACAAACGUCUACAUGAAUGAGCAUGUGACAAAACGUAACGCUGACAUCAAGAAAGCCCAAGACUUGAGAAAGCAGGGAGAUACAAAGUACGAGGAGCACCAACGGCAAAAUCUACAUCAAGCUAAAUGGAGCACCACUAGAAGCAAGAGUGCUUCUUGUCAAAGAUAUGAAGGAUCUGGAUACAUUUUAAAGAUCAUAUUACCAUGACAACAAGGAAAAUGGAGGAUACAACCCACAAAGAAAAAUCUAUGCAGUUAGGAUUACCUUCAAUAACAUUGGACAUUUGAUAUCAUCUUUGCAAGGGCCUGCUCAACAAAAUCACUGGAGUUAGGAACUCAUGUAUCUAUAUUCAGGAAAGACAGCAGGACGUGGAUCCGGAUAUCAACAGGGGAAAAGGAAGAACUUUUGUAUUUGUUGUUGUAUUUGUAUUUAUUUAUGUACAGUCAAUAACGGCCACUAGAGGGAGUCUGCAAAAGUGGCCGCUAUUGACAGGUGGCCUACAGUUAAUCCUACCCCUCAUCAGUUUCACAUCAGUUGCAAUACAUUUAUUCACCUCUUGUUCUUCCAAGUGUAGUUUGUAGGUCUACAUGACAAUGUAGUGCAAUCAUAGCCAAGGUUUUUACUUACUAAAAGGAAGCUAGAGGCUUAAUAAUAACUGAUAACUGAUAAAAUACUUCAUUUAAGUACAACCGAACUCAGUUUUGCGCCCGCUGCCGCAUGCAUGCUAGCAUAUGUUUUUUUUUUUUUUGUAGCGUCGCUGGGAGCACGUCCUGUUCCCAGCCUACUUUGCGGUAAUGUUUUGGUGCAAAUGCUCUUAAAGUUACAUGUUUGACUAGGAAAUAGCGAGCUCAAAAGAAGACGGCUUUUUUAUGUGGAACAACUGACAGUUUGUGUGGAUCUUGUGAAUGAUUGUGACUGAGCUAGGACUCGGUAAUUAAAGUCUACACACGACGGCUUCAUUGAUUGAAAAACAAAACUUUUUCGUGCAUGAAGCUUCUACUUCAGUUGGUAAUUUGGCUGCUAUAUGCAGUCAGAUAUUGACCAAGGGAGACAAAAUGGGCGGCUACUGGCUGCGUUGGACAGGUGACUGCUAUACACAGGGUCUAUAACAUGUAAAUUUGCUGGGGGGGAUUUUUCAGUGGCUGCUAUAGGCAGGUGGCCCUUCUAUAAAGGUGGCCGCUAAGACAAGUUUGACUGUAUUUAUUUAUUUAUUUAUUCUUUUCUUUUUGCUUAAAAAAAGAGUUAAACAAAUAAAUGAAUAAUUAUUAUAUUAAAUUCUUUGAUUGUUUAUUGGAAGAAUGAGUAAACAGUGAAUUAGUGUAUGCUGAAUACAGGAAGUGAACAUAUGUAUUAGAAAUUGAUGUGAUACGUAGAGUGGGUAGGAUAAAAUAAGCUCUGCUUCUUCCUACUCCUUUUCGGACAUGUGGAAUUAUGAAUUGCAAAAUGAAGCACUCAAUGUAAACGGUAUGCAUGUUCAAAAUAAAUUAAACUAUAACCAUUUCCUGAUUGAAUACAGGGCAGAAACCUAAGAUGAGACUGCCGCAAACGUGGAUGAUGGCGCCUGCCAGUUUCUGUUCAUUAGCAAGCCGCCAAUAAUCUAAUGUUGCAGAAACAAUUGUUAUACACCAUGACUUUCUACAGCCUGUGUAAUGUAUUUAAUAUAAGUGUGACAUGAUUGAUUUUGUUGAUAUAAAUAAUAAAAUACAGUAUAUAGCAACUUCUAAAGGGAAGGGGGCGGGCUGGAAGGCGCUUGUCAUUGCCGUCCUUCCAUAAAGAGGCAAAGCCAGCGUCUUUUUUUUUGACAGCAGUACAAGCUGGAGCAGCAACUCGAAUGCGUUGAAGGCAUUUUUAUGCUCUGCUGAAUGAAUGAAUGAAUGAAUGAAUGAAUGAAUGAAUGAAUGGGUUUGACUGCAAAGAUGGAUGAUUAUCAGACUUUUACAACAACGUAUCAGUUUUUCCUGGAUAAUGAUGGCAUAUUUAUCCAAAAGGUAAGAUCAUAAAUGUUUUUCGUUAACUAAAUAAAUAGGACUAAGAAGUAUUUGAAAACAUUUUUUUAACAAAAAGUGAAAUAUUCUCUUUUUCUUGUUAUUUUGUUAUGUAGUGAGCAACCGAAGCAACAUAAAAAAACAAAACCUCAAAGCAGUGUAGUGCCUCCCCAGCCAUGAACCUCACUCCACGUCACUGAUUAGAAUCCACUCAUGUUUGGUGGUUCUCGUGCUGAUAACGUCAAAAAUCUGAAUCAUGAUACUUGAGAUAUAGCCAUGCACAACACUCCACUGGCUUUCAGUCGUUACCAGGGCAACUGCUGAUCUGUAGCGGUCGCCACCUCUACUGUUUUUUUAUGGGUGUUUGACACACAUAUUUCCUUUAUCGACCUCAAGGGAAAGUAAAAAAAAAAAAAAAAACGUUUCCUUAUUUAAACAGAUAAUUGAGUUGACAAUUAAGUAAUUAAGACAAAAUAAUUAUUCUAUUUUCUUGCAAGGAUUACACCACACAAGAAUCAGAACACACAUGCAGGCAUUAGUCAGGAAACAGACUGCAGCAUCCCUGCAGAAACUGUUGCAACUGAAACUGAAUCAACAGCAGCCCAUCAACACUAUUUUACCUCAACUUCUUCAAAACACAAUUAUUCAUCAAUCAGGUCCAUACAAUCGGCAGCAUUCUUAAUGAUAAUUACAAUAUUUUAUUGUUACGCCCAUUCCUUGUUGAAACACAUAAUUGUAAAACAGCUGCUAGAAAAAUGAAUGAUAAAAACUCACUGUAGUUGAAGCCAAGUUGUAAACAAAGUGUUCUCACCCAUAAAGUAGGUGACUGUCUUGCACAUGGCCGCCCCAAAGAUGAAAUCCUCCAGUAUGUUGGGGAUAAGCGUGAAGGGCAUACAGAAGAUGGCCAUCAUCAGGUCACUGAGCGCAAGCGACAGCAGGAAGGAGUUGGUGACUGUUCUCAUGCGCUUGUUGAGAAUCAGGACAGUGAUGAUAAGGAGGUUGCCAAAGACACUGAUGAGGAAGAUGAGCGUGUAGAGCAGAAUGCGCACCGAGUCCGUCUCUAAGGAGAGAACAUGACCACAGCAUCUCAUUUUGAUUGCAUUUAAAAAUAUAUACUGCUCAAAAAAAUUAGAGGAACACUUCAAAAACACAGAUCUAAACGAAUGAUCUUGAACAUCUUUCCUGAUAUUAAGUGGGUGAUGUAUUAGUAACAAAACGAUGCCACAUAAUUUGAUAGAAAUGAAAAUGAUCACCCUAUAGAGGGGGGAAAUCAAAGACACCCCAAAAAUGAAAGUCUCCUAAUGAGACUACGGAUGGUGUCCUGGGGGAUUUUCAUUUCUAUCAAAUUAUGUGGCAUCAUUUUGUUACUAAUACAUCACCUACUUAUUAUCAGGAAAGAUAUUCAAGAUCAUUUUUCCCCCAGUUUAGAUCUGAUGUGUUUUCGAAGUGUUCAUUACAUUUUUUUGAGCAGUAAAUUAUAUGAUAUAUAUAUAUAAUAUGUUAACAUUAUAUAACAAAAUAAGUUAAUGUGCUUCAGUCCAGAGAGGAGAUGAAGAACAAAGAAUAAAAUGCCAAAAGGAAACUGGAAUAUUAACCUCUCCUGAGAAAAAAAAAUAGAAAUAGUCUUUCUUCUUCCGCAUGCAGGUUAACAUGUAUGUCUGACAACCAUCGCAUACUUAACACUAAUAUGGGAACAGUUUUGGGUAGACAAUAACAAUUUAAUAAUUUUGCUGGACGAUAACCAACAAAUUAUUGCUGAUAUAUGAUAUUAUUGUCAACAUUAUUUUGAGGCCAUUUUUUCAUGAACGUAAUGAUAAUAUAUUGUAUAACAAUGCAAGUACACUGUAUCAAAAGAAAUAAACUUUAAUUUCCCAAGAGUAUUUAACAUUGUAAUUGUAAUGUCAAGAGUUUUAAAGUAAAAUUAAAUGCGCGCGGAAACAUGAUGUAAAACAAUAGCUCCCCAAAGUGUAUUGAUUAGAACAAAUAGAUCUGUAGAAAAGCAAAAUGUAAUGCAUAUCAUGGACACUACGCCAUAUUUCUGAUUUUGAAUCAGUCACUUUUGUUUAUGUCUGAAAAUUGACAAAAAAGCUGAGAAAUGACCCGGAAAUACUCUGAAGUUCACAUUGUGUGUUAACGCAGACGUCAGCUCAUUUGCAUAUAUGCUUUCUUGAUUCACUUUUAGCAACUUUGUGUGUGGAAUAUGCUUUUUACGUUUAAGAGGUGUAACAUUUUGUCUGAGUUUGGUCAAAGUACAUGUUUUGGAUGCAGUAAAAUGAAGGGAUGUGCGAUAUUGUUUUUUUUUUUUGCCAAUAACCGAUAUGCUGAUAUUGUUCAACUCUUAAUUUCCGAUAAAUUGAUUGAUGCCACCUACCUCGACUCCUGUCUCGUUGUGAAUCGCAUCUCCACAUUUGGUGACCCUUGAAGUGGGUAAAAAUGUCGAUUGACAAUGAGUUCGCUAACGCUGGUGCUGUCUGCACCAGCACACCCACGUCUGUGAUGUCAACAUAUCCAGCCCAGUGACGACUGCGAGGAAUAACUUAGGACGUGACAAAGUAUUUCCAAGUAAUGCCGCCCCUUGAUGCCUCGAUGACGGCAAGUACUGAAGCCCACAGGCCUACAUGCAGCAGUUAUUAUUAUCGGUUUUCAUUAUGGGGAAAAACCUGAUAUAGAGAUCAACCGAUGUUACAUUUUUAUGCCAAUAUCGAGACGAUAAUAUUGGCCCACCGACAUCCCUAGUAAAAUGCGUUUGGUGUGUUAUACUUCCGGAAUCGCGGCAGCUGAAACAUAAGUUCUAGUGGUGUGUAUUCAUUCAUUUUCUGUGCCGCUUAAUUUUCAUUAGAGUGUUGGAGGUAUGCUGGAGUUUAUCCCAGCUGAUUUUGGGCGAGAGGCAGAGUACACCCUAGACUGGUCGCCAGACAAUUGCAGGGCACAUACUGUAUAGACAAUCAACUAUUCACCUAUGGACAAUUCAGAGUCGCCAAUUUACCGACUGUAACAUGCAUGUUUUUGGAAUGUGGAAGGAAACCGGGGUACCCGGAAAAAAACGAUGCACGGGGAGAACAUAGAGAUGUCAGAGAUGGAGGCUGGAACCGCGAUCUUGUCAUCCAUUCUGUUUGGUAUAGACAGAGGAGGAAAACAAACACCCAUGCUCAUGUUAAUAUAUCGAGGCCAGCAAAAUUUAACUAGUUCAUUUAUAUUUGUCGUGCGUUUAAUUGAUUUAUUGAUUAUCGUGACAAGCCUCGUUUUAGGGAAAGGAGACAGAGAACAUUUUGUUGCUCAAUAGGGAAGUAAGAGUCCAGAGUCAUUAAAUCAACAGAUUAAAGUUUCCUCAUGUCAAUAUUUGCCAUCAAAGAUGAAGCAAAACAGCCUCAACAGGGCUAAGCACACUGCUUUAGGAAGCAUUUGUCAAACCGGAAAAGGGAGAUUAAAAUUAAACAUCCGUCUCUUGAUUGAGAUCAAUAUUUAUACACAGGGUUUUUUUCAAAGACAGUAAAACCAUGUUUCAUGGUUGUAGAAGACCUAUUUCACAGGUUGAUUCCAAAGCACCACCACACCAGCAUCAUCAUCAUUGAGCGCAGGGCAGCACGGACACGGCCUUUUAGGGGCACUCCGCAGUCACCAUCAAUCUGUUUGAGAGUGAAAGCAUGUGACAGGACGAGGUCGAGAAAGGCUGAGCAUUGCGCUGACUGAGCACGCUGAUUAAAGUUGGUGACGAGGCAGAAGUUCAAAAGUCUGCAGCAAAGCCUCCAGACACAUUUUGGCACAGGAACUCAUUCUGCACUGCAACCCGUGCAACAAAAUUUUAACAUUUAACCAAUUUUUAACCAACCAUAUUCAACCAUAUUCAUAGCCACUGUCAUUUGUAAAUGUACUAUCAGUUUUAUAAAUUUUUUAUUUGACUAUUAUCAGAAAAUUCCCCAACAGAUAUGACCUGAAAAGGCAUGUGUGUGUGUGUGUGUGUGUCUGUGUGUCACUCAUUCAGCUCUUACUCUUCUCAACCAAAUAAUCUAACAGACAUGAUGAAAUUUUAGAAAAUAAAAACAUGGACAUAAAAAACAUUAUGUCAUAACAAGGCCACCACAGUUUAAUCACAUUUCCCCUUCAAUAAUUCUGUAUAAAAGUAAGUGUGCUUGACUCAUGUGUUACUGUAAUUUGCAAUAACAUCAUAGAAACUAGCUGCUACACAAAUGUCACCCUCUCAAUCUCUUGUGGUAGUGUGAAGGGAAAAGGGACUGAGAAACAGCACUACAGUAUGUGGAUUCCCACAGGGACAGCACUAUGUCGACUCCCCCAGGUCCUGGGCAAUUGACUUUGUUUGCAUUGACUCCUCAAGUAUGACAACUGUGCGUCAUCUAUAAAUGUUUGUACAUGACAAACAAAAGCACAUGGCCCAGAGUGUUGACAUGGAACAUUUUAGCAUGAUUGCUCGACACACUUUAUGUCUGAUUGAAUGAUUCUUACUUCAGUCAUGGUCAGCUACACCAUUAUUCUUCUGCCUCACAGGUAGCAAAGUUUCAACACCUCAUGUUGUUUGGUUUGAUCUUUAAGAGAGGAUGAAAGAGGCUUCAUAGCAGACCACCAGAGAUGAUCGGAGAACCUUCUACCUUCUAGGAUUAUUCGGUGAUGAGUAACACGUACACGAUUAGUGAGGUUUUUAAGUGUGGUAGCAGCAGUACAAAGAUGCUGGAUCAUUCCUAUGGUGUCAGGGAAAGUGGUUGCUCCCUGCUCCCACCAGAGAUUUGGAAGCACGGAGGAGCAGCACUGCACUCCAAAUUUCACAACCUCUUCCUAUACUGCUGGGAACAGGGAAAGCUACCGCAAGACCUCAGAGAUGCUGUUAUCAUCACCCUGUACAAGAACAAAGGGGAAAAGUCUGACUGCUCAAACUAUCGGGGUAUAACGCGUCUCUCAUCGCGGGCAAAAUUCUCCCCAAAUCGACUGGUACCAGCUGCGGCAGAACUCCAACUCCCAGAGAGCCAGUGCGGCAUCAGAUCGAACAGAGGUACCACUGACUUGUUCUUCGUGCUCAGACAGCUCCAAGAAAAAUGCCAUGAACAAAACAAAGGUCUAUACGUUACCUUUGUAGACCUGACAAAGGCUUUCGACACUGAGCAGAAAAGGCCUGUCGCAGAUCAUGGAGCGUCUUGGCUGUCCCCCAAAGUUCCUCAGCAUGGUUAUGCAGUUGCAUGAAGAUCAGCGUGGUCAGGUCAGACACAGCAAGGACCUCUCAGAACGUUUCCCGAUCAUCAACGGUGUGAAGCAAGGCUACAUCCUCGCACGAACUUUCUUCACUAUCUUCUUCAGCAUGAUGCUUCAACGGGCCACAGAUGACCUCGGUAACGAAGAUGGCAUCUACAUUCGAUACCGCACUGAUGAACUUACGAUGCCUACAGGACCAAACCAAGACCCUAGAGAAACUGAUUCGGGAGUUACUCUUUGCUGAUGAUGUCGCCCUCGUAACCCACACAGAGACUGCCCUGCAACGUGUAACAUCUUGCUUCGCAGAGGCAUCCCAGCUCUUCGGUCUCGAAGUCAGUUUGAAGAAGAGGUUCUCCAUCAGUCAGCCCCACAGGAAGCGUACUGUCCACCACACAUUACAAUUGGUGUGACAAAACUGAAGGCAGUCCAACAGUUCACCCACCUGGGAUGCAUCAUCUCCUCUGAUGCAAGAAUCGACAAAGAGGUGGACAACAGACUGGCAAAGGCAAGCAGUGCUUUCGGCAGACUUAAUAGUCGUGUCUGGAACAACAAACACCUGAAGAAAGCCACAAAGAUCAGCGUGUACAGAGCCGUGGUACUAACCACCCUCAUGGGUCAUGGUCAUGGGUCACUUACAGGCGCCACCUACGACUCCUGGAACGUUUCCACCAACCGUGUCUCCGUUCCAUCUUCAGCAUUCACUGGAGUGACUACAUCACAAACACUGAAGUACUUCAACUAACGGGCAUCACCAGUAUCGAGGCCAUGCUGAUGGAAACGCAGCUACGCUGGGCAGGGCACGUCUCCAGAAUGGAGGAUCACCGCCUACCCAAGAUCGUCCUCUAUGGUGAACUCUCCAAGGGGCACCAUGACAGAGGAGGACCAAAGAAGAGGUACAAAGAGUCUAAGAAAAAAUCCCUGUCUACCUGCCACAUCGACCAUCGACAGUGGUCAGUCCUAGCUGCUGACCGAGGGGCUUGGCGGCGCGCUGUCCGCCAGUCAGUCUCCUCCUUUGAGAGCAACCGUAGGGCUGCCAUCAAAGAGAAGCACAGUAGGAGAAAGAAGGUUCUAGCCAAGAAGGUUAACAUUAUUAAUCCAUUCCAGAAGGGCAGACUCAUACCAAAAUGAACUAUAACCAAAGCAAAUUUUCCCAUAGAAAAUAAUGUAAAUCCAAUUAACCCCUUCCAGAAACCCAAAAAUGCUAUUACAAAAGAAAAUAAUGCAAAAAUAAUUGACCAUUUAACAUCAC